rnacentral:rRNA from 1 species
CGGAGGGAUCAUUACACAACAAAAUAUGAAGGCCUGGCUUUCGCGGCCGGCUGAAGUAUUUUUUUCACCCAUGUCUUUUGCGCACUUGUUGUUUCCUGGGCGGGUUCGCCCGCCACCAGGACCAAACCAUAAACCUUUUUUUCUUAUGCAGUUUCCAUCAGCGUCAGUAAAAACAAUGUAAUUAUUACAACUUUCAACAACGGAUCUCUUGGUUCUGGCAUCGAUGAAGAACGCAGCGAAAUGCGAUACGUAGUGUGAAUUGCAGAAUUCAGUGAAUCAUCGAAUCUUUGAACGCACAUUGCGCCCUUUGGUAUUCCAAAGGGCAUGCCUGUUCGAGCGUCAUUUGUACCUUCAAGCUUUGCUUGGUGUUGGGCGUUUUUUUGUCUCCCUCUUUCUGGGAGACUCGCCUUAAAACGAUUGGCAGCCGGCCUACUGGUUUCGGAGCGCAGCACAUUUUUUGCGCUUUGUAUCAGGAGAAAAGGACGGUACUCCAUCAAGACUCUACAUUUUUCACUUUUGACCUCGGAUCAGGUAGGGAUACCCGCUGAACUUAAGCAUA